rnacentral:rRNA from 1 species
CCCUUAGAUGUUCUGGGCCGCACGCGCGCUACACUGACGAAUGCAACGAGCUUAUAACCUUGGCCGAAAGGUCUGGGUAAUCUCCAAAUUUCGUCGUGAUGGGGAUAGAUUAUUGCAAUUAUUAAUCUUCAACGAGGAAUGCCUAGUAAGCGCAAGUCAUCAGCUUGCGUUGAUUACGUCCCUGCCCUUUGUACACACCGUCCGUCGCUCCUACCGAUUGAAUGGUCCGGUGAAGCGUUCGGACCGUGGCCUUUGGACGGUUCGCCGUCUGUUGGCUGCGGGAAGUUCGUUAAACCUUAUCAUUUAGAGGAAGGAGAANUCGUAACA